rnacentral:sRNA from 1 species
GAGGCCUUGCCCUGCAAAGCCCCAGGCUGAGGGGCUGGGGUUGGGGUGGGGUUUACCAGGACCUGGUUCCUGUAAGCCGAGGUCUCCUUGCCUGGCUCUUCUAGCCUCAGGCCAGCAGCAGCAGGGCAGCCUGAUACAGUAGGGCACCCCAGGGGUGAGGGGAGACCAAGAAGGCAGACACCCCUGACAGCCUCGUAACCACGCAGGAGACUCACUGUGACUUGUCCCACGCCCUCCCCAGUGUCUCCUCGGUUGGGGCUGGGGCUUCAGGGAUCAGGGAGAGGCUGGGUACCAGCUGUGUGCCUGGCGGCACCUGGGACAGGGCCUUGCUGGGGGCGGGUGCUGUGGGUGUGCUUGCCAGGCCGAGGCAUCGGGAAGGAACGAGGUGGGGAGCUCUCUGGAGAGGCACACGGGUGUGUACCAGCUGGAGGUGUUGCCUGAGCAGCCGGCAAGGCUGGGGCCUUCAGAUUAGGCCAUAGGUGGGUGGCCUGGAGCGCCUGGCCAAAGAGCAGAGCUGGGCAGGGGCCAGGGGCCGUGCUGGGCCUCUGUCCAGGGGCUUUUCUCCGGGGAAGGGUUCCGGGGCAGUGGGCUCGAGACCCUGGCCCUGGGGAUUGCAUAUUGGAGCACAUCGGACCAUCCAGGAGCCAGUGGGAGGUGGGUGUGCCGGGGCUUCACACCGGUUUCCACUUCUCUGGCCUGUGUUGACACAGGCCACCCUCCCCACCAGGCUGGUCCCGAGCCCCCUCCUGGCCCCCAGGCCUGGAAGACAGCUCCCUUGCUGCCUGGCCAGGCCCCCUUGUGGUUGCCAGGGCCCCGAUGCUGGAAUGUGAGAGGCCCCCCACUGGCCUCUCAGCCUCCUCCUGCCUUGCACAGGCUGGGCCAGAGCCUGCCAUGGAGCCCCAGCGGCUACACACUCCACUCACUCACACCUCUCAGGGCCCUGCACGUUCCCACAGCCCUCAGGGUGUACGUGCUGUAGGUGUGGCUGUGCCCCAGGUAUGUGUUCCCCAGAUGUGCAUGUGCCUCAGGUGUGGCUGUGCCUCAGGUGUGGCUGUGCCCCAGGUGUGCGUGUGCCUCAGGUGUGGCCGGUGCCCCAGGUGUGCGUGUGCCCCAGGGUGUGCAUUGUGCCCCAGGUGUGCGUGUGCCCCACGUGUGUGUGUGCCCCAGAUGUGGCUGUGUUCUAGGUGUCUGUGUAUUCCAGUGUGGCUGUGCCCCAGGUGUGGGUGUGCGGGGUGGUGCCCCAGGUGUGGUGUCUGUGGUGGCUGUGCUUCUAGGUUGUGGUGGGUGUGCCCCAGGUGUGGGUGUGCUCCAGGUGUGGGUGUGCCCCAGGUGUAGGUGUGCUCCAGGUGGCUGUAUUUCCCAGGUACUCAGGGUGAGGUUGGGAAAAUAGGACAUUUCUACACUAGGUGGGACAAGCUGCUUUCUGGGGUGCCCCCCUCAUGCCAGCCCCUCUGUGGGAUCUCCAUAUCCCUCAUCCUCUGAGGCCUGGCGCACAGUGGGGCUCAGAGACUGAAGGAAGGACUGUAGGAGUGGAUGAUGGUGGGGGUUUGACCUGACUCUGGGCCAGAUACCCUGUGGGGCUGCCUCAACCUGGAGUAGAGUGUCUGAGCUGGAACGGGGGUCCUAGCCCCACUCUGUGAGGCGAGAAACAGGCUUGGAGAGAGGAAGAGAUGGGGCUUCCCAGGACCUGGGGGGUGGUAUGCAAGGGGAGCUGGCUGGUGCGGGGGGGGCCCUGGGAGGGGCAGGGGAAUGCACGCAGACAGAGGCUCUGCCUGCCCGCAGAGUGCCAGCUGAUGAAGACGGAGCGGCCCCGGCCCAACACCUUCAUCAUCCGCUGCCUGCAGUGGACCACUGUCAUUGAACGCACCUUCCACGUGGAGACUCCUGAGGAGCGGUACGUGGGCUGUGGCGGCCAGGCCAGGCGCUUGGGCAGCCCCAGCGCUUAGGAGGGACACGGGGAUGGCGGGGUGCUGGCACCUCUGCCUGUAGCCGUCCUCACUCCCCAGUGCUCCCAGGCCCUCCUCAGAGCCCAGUUUGGAAACUGGCCCAGUCCUGCCUGUGGGGUUUGGGUGGGGAAACUGAGGCUGGAGUUAAAAACUGGCUAGCGACCGGGUGCAGUGGCUCACAUCUAUAAUCUCGGCACUUUGGGAGGCCGAGGUGCACGGAUCACUUGAGACCAGGAGUUUGAGACUAGCCUGGCCAACAUGGUGAAACCCCCGUCUCUACUAAAAAUAUAAAACUUAGCUGGGCGUGGUGGUGCACACCUGUAAUCCCAGCUACUUGGGAGGCUGAGGCACAAGAAUCGCUUGAACCCGAGAGGCGGAGGCUGCAGGAGCCGAGAUUUUACCACUGCACUCCAGCCUGGGCGAUAGAGCAAGACUCCAUCUCAAAAAAAGAAAAACCUGAUGGAGAGGGCCAGUCAUGCUUGGGGGGUGGGGUCCUGCUGGGGGGCUGAGUCCUGCUGUGGGCCUGAGUCCUGCUGGGGGUUGGAGUCCAGUUGUGGGGACAGAGCCCUGCUGCGGGGCUAAGCCUGGGUGUCCCCCACGUCCAGGAGGGCUUCCUGACCCUGAGUGUGUGUGGCCAGCCCAGGUCAAGUGGUGGCCUCCUCAGGGCUGUCUCUGGGGACCCCGACAGCUGCGGGGCCAUGCUUGUGAGGCUGGCGGGUGGGCGAAAGCCAUGGGGUGGAGCUCCUGAUCUGGUGCAGGGCUGCAGCCUCACCUGACCUCCUGCAGGGAGGAGUGGACAACCGCCAUCCAGACGGUGGCCGACGGCCUCAAGAAGCAGGAGGAGGAGGAGAUGGACUUCCGGUCGGGCUCACCCAGUGACAACUCAGGGGCUGAAGAGAUGGAGGUGUCCCUGGCCAAGCCCAAGCACCGCGUGGUGAGGCCUGUCCCCACUUCUGCCUGUUCCUGGGGCUGCCUUGGGCUGUGAAGGGCUGGGUGGGUCGUGGGGGUCCCAGCUCGGCCCAGGAGACACUCAGCACUCCACGGCAUCUCCACCUAGGCCGGUUUUCUGUGUAGGGUGCAGCUGCCUCCCAGGUGGGUCCUCUUCCCUAUGUCAGAGGAAAACUGGGGCUGCUGAGCCCUGCCAGGCUUGGGCAACGUUACCCCACCCUUCCCUGAACCCCGUGCUCUGAGCUGGGGCCGCAGCUGUGUGUUCCCUGUAAGCCCGGACUCCCCGCUGAGCCCAGCAGGCCACCAGGUGUGAAGCGGGCGCCUGUCCUGGCUCUGCCUCCAAGACUCUGGGGCCCCUCAUGCCACCCCACGCAUGCCGACGAGCUGGGCACUGUGGGCAGCGCCACGUGCUGACCCUGGUGCCUGCCCACAGACCAUGAAUGAGUUUGAGUACCUGAAGCUGCUGGGCAAGGGCACUUUUGGGAAGGUGAUCCUGGUGAAGGAGAAGGCUACAGGGCGCUACUACGCCAUGAAGAUCCUCAAGAAGGAAGUCAUCGUGGCCAAGGUGAGGCCGGGGCGGUGGGGCAGGGUGCAGACGAGGGUGCGGGGCGGCAGCUCACCCAGCCCUGCCUUACAGGACGAGGUGGCCCACACACUCACGGAGAACCGUGUCCUGCAGAACUCCAGGCACCCCUUCCUCACGGUGAGUGGGAGCCCAGAUGGGGCUGAGGGGCUGAAGGGCUGGGGCCAGAUAGCGACUCCUGGGACUGUCUCUAGGGGACGAUGUCCUGUCUUCUUGGGCACGUGAGGGCUUUACACACUGUGGACUCCACCGCUGGUGAGACGGGCCUGCCCUGGAGGGUCAGGCUGUGGAGGUGCCCAGUGUGGGCUGGGGGCUGUGCUCGCCGCUCCCGUGUGCAGGCAGGUGGGUGGAGCAGGUGGCCCUGGUCUUCCUUGCACUCUGCCGAGGCUCCAGGAGGCCCCAGCUCCUCAUGCCCUGCAGCCCUGCCUGCCAGGCUUCUGUUGAGGCCCGGGCUCUGUCCUGCGGAGCCUGUUCUGGGGACUCAGCCCAGGAGGUAUUUACUGUGAAGGGGGCCAGGCUCCAGCCACUUGGUUAGUUCCAGGUCACUGUGUUUGGGGACGAUUCUCCUGCAGAUGGGGCCUUUGCUUUAAAAGCACAGUCGCCUGUGGUGGAAGGCCGGAAGGUGGGUCUCGCCUGGGAGGGUGUGUCCUCCCCUUGCCAGGGCCCUGGUGCUGGGAGCACUGUCCCCUGCUGAGGUCCCAACUCGCCCUGGAGGACCUGAGCCCAGGCCGCCUUGCUCACCUUUCAAACACUCCUUGGCGCCUCAGGGGCUGCUGGGGCCCAGCCUGAUGGUGGCGUGGCAUGAGGCAGUGUGGUGUGGGGCAGUGGUGGGGCAGCGUGGUGUCGGGCAGUGUGGUGUGGGGCUACGGGCGGUGUGGUAUCAGGCGACGUGGUAUCAAGCAGCGUGGUGUCGGGCAGCGUGGUGCAGGGCUGCCGUCCUGCCUGUGGGGCCGCAGUUGCAGCUUCGCUUCCUUCCAGGCCCUGAAGUACUCUUUCCAGACCCACGACCGCCUCUGCUUCGUCAUGGAGUACGCCAACGGGGGCGAGGUAGGGGCUGGGGCUGCGGGGGAUGGACUUUGUGGCCUGUGGGCCGCCCAUGGUGGGGCUGGUCCUUCCCGGAGCCUUGGCUACUCUCCAUGGCGCCAGACGGUGCUCCCUGCUGGGUGGGUGGUGUGAUGCCUGCCCAGGCAGCUGCCUGCUGUGGGGUGACUUGUUCCUGCUGAGUUAGGGCUUCUGAGACUUUCCAGGCCCCCGUGCCCUCUGGGGGCUGGUCCCUUCCCUGUGCCAAUGCCCUGAGACCCUGUCUGAGAAGCCCCAGCCCUGCAGGCCGUGGGGGCGGAGGCCCCAGCCACGGCUGUGCCUCAGGUCGCGCCUCCCGCAGCUGUUCUUCCACCUGUCCCGGGAGCGUGUGUUCUCUGAGGACCGGGCCCGCUUCUAUGGCGCUGAGAUCGUGUCAGCCCUGGACUACCUGCACUCGGAGAAGAACGUGGUGUACCGGGACCUCAAGGUGCGCUGGUGGGCAGGCGGCGGGGCAGGGCCCCGGGGGCCUGGUGGCACUGACCUGAGGCCACCUUUCCCCUAGCUGGAGAACCUCAUGCUGGACAAGGACGGGCACAUUAAGAUCACAGACUUCGGGCUGUGCAAGGAGGGGAUCAAGGAUGGUGCUACCAUGAAGACCUUCUGCGGCACACCCGAGUACCUGGCCCCUGAGGUGUGCGCCCCACCUGCGUGCAUACGCGUUGCUGUGUCCCCGCGUCCUGAGCACACGCAAUGCUGUGUCCUCUCUGUGCCCCAAGCACAUCACACCUCCCUCGGCAGUGUCCUGGACACUCCUUGAUGCCGAGUCCUGCCCAUCUGCCACCCGUGCAGGUGCUGGAGGACAAUGACUACGGCCGUGCGGUGGACUGGUGGGGGCUGGGCGUGGUCAUGUACGAGAUGAUGUGCGGCCGCCUGCCCUUCUACAACCAGGACCAUGAGAAGCUUUUUGAGCUCAUCCUCAUGGAGGAGAUCCGCUUCCCGCGCACGCUUGGUCCCGAGGCCAAGUCCUUGCUCUCGGGGCUGCUCAAGAAGGACCCCAAGCAGAGGCUUGGCGGGGGUUCCGAGGACGCCAAGGAGAUCAUGCAGCAUCGCUUCUUUGCCGGCAUCGUGUGGCAGCAUGUGUACGAGAAGAAGGUGCGGCUGCUCCCCGCAUAUCCACGCACACGCGUGCACCCCACAUAGCCACACUCACGCAUGCACGUGGCACACUCGCUGGAUUUCCCACACACUCGCCCUCACCUCAGGAGCCUGCUGCAGUCCUGGUACAAGGAGGGCCUUGCUGCACCAACCUCAGCGCCUGGUGCUCAGAGGCUGGCACUGCUGGGCUCCACCAGGAAACUGGCCUGGUCCUCCUUAUUUCCUCCUCCCCUCAGAGGUGUGUCACACUCUGAGUGCCAACCUUGGGGGUCCCUUCCCUGACGCUGUGCAGUGAAGGCUGGCUGGUGGUGGACCAGGGGUGCUGCCCCUUGGUCUCUAUGAGUUCCUCCUGUUUGACCUCAGUCCCUUCUGCCACAAGGAGAGCCCAGCCCUACUGUCUGGCUGUGCAGGGACAGGGGACAGCACCUACUUUUCUGGCACAUGGGGGAGUCCGUCCUGGAGGGAGGCAGCUCUUUCUGCAUGAGUCGCCAUCCUGGGUGCUCAUCUUUCAGGGACGCUAGGAGCCCUGGCCAUCACCCCGGCUGAUGGGGUCUGCCAGCUGGGUUCGGAAGCCUGCACUCUGAGGUGCUGGGUGCCCUGUCACCAGGUGUGCUUCUGUCCCAUUCCCAGCGUGCCCCUCCCUGAAUGCCUGUCCUAGGCCAUGUGCAGCUGGUUGGGCUAGGCAGCCCUGGGACCCAGCUGGGCACCUGUCCUCCCAUUAACACAGGGUGCCCUGGCCCUGGUCCCAGUUCCUGCCUUGAGGCCUGCCACCCUCCAGCCCUGCCCUGCCCUCCAAGGGUAUGGGGGGCCUGGGCAGCACUCAACCUCUGCCCAGCCUUGACCAGAGACCUUGCUAAUUGACAAUGGACAGUGCUGGUGCCCAGGCCAGACUCUGGGGUGGGGCAGUGCUUGAGAGGGUCCUUGACUGUGGGACCUGAGGGGCUCUCUGGCAGCUCCUCAGGUGGGCACAUCACCUUAUAGUCACCCUUGAUCCUGGGUCAGUGAGAGUCCUGUCUGCAGCCAGAUGCCAGCAGGCUGUGGUCCUGUAGUCCCUGAGCUGUGGAGGCAGGGUGGGCUCAUCCUGUGCACCUUGUUCCACAGUCUCCCUCUUUCCCAAUUUACAAGAAGACCAAUAAGAAAAAUAAAACAAGAAAGAAAAAGGAAAAAUAAAGUCAUCACCUCCUGGUAGCAGGGAGGGUCUCAGAGCUGGGCUGCACUACCUCCUGUCGCCUGCUGGGGCUGCUGUGAGGGCAGCUUUGCGUCUCAGCUGAUGAGGGUUAUCUCCAUGCUCCUGCACCCCUCAUGUCCCUCCCCUCCCAGAGCUGCCUCUGUCGGGGGCUGGUGGCUUGCUGCUCUCUGACAUCAGUCCUGCCUGGAGACUCCUUGGAGAUCCAGGUGCUUUGAGGGUCUUGAGCACACUUGAGGGUGUGUUGGGAGUGGGGAGCGAAGCUCAUGACUGUCCCGUCUGCCCACCUCUGCAGCUCAGCCCGCCCUUCAAGCCCCAGGUCACAUCGGAGACCGACACCAGGUAUUUUGACGAGGAGUUCACGGCCCAGAUGAUCACCAUCACACCACCUGACCAAGACGACAGCAUGGAGUGUGUGGACAGCGAGCGCAGGCCCCACUUCCCCCAGUUCUCCUACUCGGCCAGCGGCACGGCCUGAGGCGGCGGUGGACUGCGCUGGACGGUAGCUUGGAGGGAUGGAGAGGCGACCUCGUGCCAUGAUCUGUAUUUAAUGGUUUUUAUUUCUCGGGUGCAUUUGAGAGAAGCCACGCCGUCCUCCUGAGCCCAGGUGGAAAGACGUUUUUGUGCUGUGGGCAGCACCCUCCCCCGCAGCGGGGUAGGGAAGAAAAUUGUCCUGCGGGUUUUAAUUUAUUUCAUCCAGUUUGUUCUCCGGACGUGGCCUCAGCCCUCAGAACAAUCCGAUUCACAUAGGGAAAUGUUAAGGACUUCUGCAGCUAUGCGCAAUGUGGCGUUGGGGGGCCGGGCAGGUCCUGCCCACGUGUCCCCUCACUCUGUCAGCCAGCCGCCCUGGGCUGUCUGUCACCAGCUAUCUGUCAUCUCUCUGGGGCCCUGGGCCUCAGUUCAGCCUGGUGGCACCAGAUGCAACCUCACUAUGGCAUGCUGGCCGGCACCCUCUCCUGGGGGUGGCAGGCACACGGCAGCCCCCAGCACUAAGGCCGUGUCUCUGAGGACGUCAUUGGAGGCUGGGCCCCUGGGAUGGGACCAGGGAUGGGGGAUGGGCCAGGGUUUACCCAGUGGGACAGAGGAGCAAGGUUUAAAUUUGUUAUUGUGUAUCAUGUUGGUCAAAUGCAUUUUGGGGGUUUUUAAUCUUUGUGACAGGAAAGCCCUCCCCCUUCCCCUUCUGUGUCACAGUUCUUGGUGACUGUCCCACCGGGAGCCUUCCCCUCAGAUGAUCUCUCCACGGUAGCACUUGACCUUUUUGCCGCUUAACCUUUCCGCUGUCGCCCCGGGCCCUCCCUGACUCCCUGUGGGGGUGGCCAUCCCUGGGCCCCUCCACGCCCUCCUGGCCAGACGCUGCCGCUGCUGCUGCACCACGGCGUUUUUUUACAACAUUCAACUUUAGUAUUUUUACUAUUAUAAUAUGAAAAUUUCCCUCCAAAUUCUUCAAUAAAAGUUGCUUUUC